rnacentral:lncRNA from 10 species
UGAUUGCUACAGUGAAAACACUACUUGCCUACAGCUUUGCUCAAUUAAUUCAUAAGGACUACAUAGGUAAUUCAUUAAAUCUUAAUGAAGAUUGGAUAUAGAGGAGUAUAGUAGUUGGAUCUAAAUCUGCAGCUCAAAAAUCAAAUCCUAACCCCUUAGACUGCCAAAUCCAGAGAAAAGUCAAGGCCCUUUCUCUCCAGCCAGCGAUGGCUAUCAUCCUAGAAACCUACACUUCCUCCCCAAGGUCCUGGCCCCUUCCUCUCCACUGCCAGGGCACGUCCACGCAGCUCUCAUCACCUCUAGUUUCCAUGAUUUGUUUACUGUCUGUCUGCUCCUUACCUGUAGUCUAGUGAGCUCUCACAGUCUAGCACAGCAUUAAAAAAUGGUUUGUUGACUGAAUGACUUACUAAAAUAGAUGAAUAAACAAACGGAUGGUUGAAUUUGCUCAUGAGAUAAGGGUACCCACCACCCAGCAUGUGUCUAGCACAUAGUACACAUAGGAGCAAUGACCAUCUCUGAUGUUAUUACUUUUACUGAAUAGUUAUCAGACAUUGCAUUCAGUGCUUUAAUGAGUCACUCAUUUAUGGUAAUCUUACUGCUAUCCAUAUUUUACAGAAGAGGUUGGCAAUAUUAAAUAAUCUACUGCCUUUUUCUAUAGGAGGCAGUCAAUACUUGAAUGAAUGAGUGGAUGAAUGCUUCCCCUCUAUGAAAGAAGCUAUGAGGUAUCCUCUUGGAUUGCUCUUUCUGCCACUCUCGAAGCCUAACUCUCAGUAAGCAGACCUCUGUUUCAAAGGCAAGAAGAAGGGAGUGC